rnacentral:rRNA from 1 species
CCUACGGGUGGCAGCAGUGGGGAAUAUUGGACAAUGGGGGGAACCCUGAUCCAGCCAUGCCGCGUGUGUGAAGAAGGCCCUCGGGUUGUAAAGCACUUUCAGUGAGGAAGAACGCCUGGUGGUUAAUACCCAUCAGGAAAGACAUCACUCACAGAAGAAGCACCGGCUAACUCCGUGCCAGCAGCCGCGGUAAUACGGAGGGUGCGAGCGUUAAUCGGAAUUACUGGGCGUAAAGCGCGCGUAGGUGGCUUGAUAAGCCGGUUGUGAAAGCCCCGGGCUCAACCUGGGAACGGCAUCCGGAACUGUCAAUCUAGAGUGCAGGAGAGGAAGGUAGAAUUCCCGGUGUAGCGGUGAAAUGCGUAGCGAUCGGGAGGAAUACCAGUGGCGAAGGCGGCCUUCUGGACUGACACUGACACUGAGGUGCGAAAGCGUGGGUAGCAAACAGGAUUAGAUACCCGUGUAGUC